CAAAAUGUAGCUUAACAAAAGCCCCUCGCUUACACCUAGGAAAUAUCUGUUCGACUCGGAUCAUUUUGAG
rnacentral:tRNA from 1 species